AGCUGCCCUUUGGGGUUAAGUGCUUUGUUUUUCCUUCAGCUAGUUGUAGGGUUCUUUAGGUGGGCUGAUGUGUUUCCAAGUUGAGAGAGUUUGUUCCUAUUUGUAAUGGAGUUAAGGGUAUGCUGGAAGGACAAAGUCAAAGAUGAAAAUUAUGUUAAAAUACACAGGUUCAUCAUGGCUGUGCUAGCAAAAUGGUUUUCUCCAUAAGCAAGGUAUCAACAGUGAUUGAGUUCAAACACCAGGAAAAGCUACAACAUUUAAAAUCUCCAUUGCAGAUUUGUUUGAAUAUGGGUAGGGAUGUAUAGGAUAGGCAGGUCUAAGUGGCAUAUCAGGCUGUAAAGAAAUACUUCGCUUCCUUGGACUUUAGGUGUAAGGUAUGAGCAUAAAAUUCCGGACUGCUGAAAUACUGCAGCUGCCUGCAGGGAAAUGCAAUGAGAACAUGUCAGGAUGCAGUUAUGGAUUCUCAGGGAAGACAAUGAUUUAGAGACUGCCAAGCCAUGUAAUGUGGUCAUUGCAUUCACCAGUCAAAUGCAGCCACAUCUGAGUAAAAACCAGCAGCUGCUUAACACUGCUGCACAGAGCUACACCUGCACAGUGCUCCUAGUCUCCAUGGGUGUGGAAUUUGAAGAUGAUAGAAAUGAAAUUAUCCACACUGAAAUUCAGCCAAGGCACUGAGUAUGGUAUCCUCACUCUGGCAGAACAAAAAUGAAAGUGCAUCUCUAGUGAUCCAAAGCUGCAAAGGCCUGAGUUUUUUGUCUUACUCACUUGGUACCACAUGCAGCCCUGUGCUGACACCCAUCACUGGUACAACCCUCAGCACCACUGUGAGCAUCCAAAAUAGCAUGUCCUUCCUCAUCUUGCAGUUAGCCAAGCGUGGAUGAAACAUUGCCUGCUUCACCACAUCCAGCAGCAUUAACACAUGGAAAGUCACAGCUGCAGGAGCUGCGUAUACCUUUGAAGGCCAGUAACACAGAGUUAUGCCAAUGAUACAGCAGAUAUCUGUUGAACAAGCAGGCGGCUGCUGCUAUUAUUUGUUACCACUCAUGGAAGAAUGAGCCUGGAGGCAGUGUGGCUUCAGCAUGCAGUAUGUAACUGCAGGCAGUUGUCCCACUGGAGACAAGAAGUCGUUUCAUGGGAAAAAAAUGGACUACAAAAAGGAUCAGAAAUUGAAGAAAAAAAUGAAUUAUUAAAACCUUGACUAGCUAGUGGUUGCACAAUGGAGAACAUAUAAAUGAUAAAAUAUCAAAUAAAGUCGUCUUCGUUGGUUUUGCAUUUGCAACAGAUUUUUCAAGCUUUUCGUUCUGUACAAAGUUUUUAUAUUGCAAUGAAAGUAGCAGAUAAAUAAUGAUUUAAAAUGUUUA